rnacentral:misc_RNA from 1 species
AAGUCGUAACAAGGUAACCGUAGGUGAACCUGCGGUUGGAUCAUUAAUGUCUAUUUAGUCUCUGGGGUAACACACUCUACUCUAUGGGUAGUUAACUUUACCCCAUGACGGCUAUUAACACCUGUGCACUUUCAUGUAUCUUGGGUAACAUUGUAUGCCCAAAAACUUAAAACCCCUAUUGAUUAUGUCUGAAAAUUUAUAUUAAAUAUAAACAACUUUUGACAACGGAUCUCUAGGCUCUC